rnacentral:rRNA from 1 species
CUGCCAGACUCCUACGGGAGGCAGCAGUGGGGGAUAUUGCACAAUGGGGGAAACCCUGAUGCAGCGACGCCGCGUGGGUGAAGGAGCACUUCGGUGCGUAAAGCCCUAUCGGCAGGGAAGAAAAGGGGGAAACCCCAGACGGUACCUGACUAAGAAGCCCCGGCUAACUACGUGCCAGCAGCCGCGGUAAUACGGAGGAUGCGAGCGUUAUCCGGAUUUAUUGGGUUUAAAGGGUGCGCAGGCGGCACGGCAAGCCGGCGGUCAAAUCGCGGGGCUCAACCCCGCCCAGCCGUCGGAACUGCCGGGCUAGAGUGGGCGAGAAGUGCGCGGAAUGCGUGGUGUAGCGGUGAAAUGCAUAGAUAUCACGCAGAACUCCGAUUGCGAAGGCAGCAUACCGGCGCCCUACUGACGCUGAGGCACGAAAGCGUGGGUAUCGAACAGGAUUAGAUACCCCAGUA